GGCGGCGUUCCCAAACCCUAACCCUCAAGGCGGGACUGCAGCGGCAAGGCUCCACGGAUCCCUUCCCCGUCAGGCCGGCACACACCUCGGCUCUCGCUCUCCCCUCCAUUUUCUGUUCGGUCGUUCCGGCGUCCCCUGCUUCAGGUCCCCAACUGAAGAGUGUAGUCGAGCACGCAAGGUCCAGGCCAGUGAGGAGGAGCUAGCUACCAUCGCCAUCAGCGCAAGUUCAGUAUUCUAUUCUUAAUAUUCUCUUUGAUCUGUUCCCAGAUUGUCCUAUUUGUACUACAUAUGUGAGCAUGUAUUGUUAACUUUUUUUUAUUAAGAUACGCGGCAACGACGAUGUGCAGAGAGCUGGGAGCUUCCCGUUGUGCGCAUGUACCCGUGCACUUGCAGGAUCGGAUGACUGGCUAGCCGCUUGGCUGUACGCCAGUGCACUUGCAAUCGUGCAGCCUGUCUGCUACUGAUUAGUGCUCCUCGCUGAAGUACUAGGCAAGUAGGCAUCACGCUUGGGUUCUGCAUCCAUCUUCUUGGGGUCUCCAAUUGGUAUAGGAAAGACCAUUAAAGUCUUGUAUGAACUCACUUCUGCGUGCACGCAUAUAUGAAGAACCGCCUGCCACUGCUAUUUGGUACUUCCAUUGUUGCUUUGAUCUUUUCAUAUGUUCAUGCAUGAAUGGCGAACAAGAAUUAUUUCCAUUCUCUCACAAGAUUAUUUUGCUUCCUCGCCUCGCCAACUCGGUGGAAUCGCCAACCAGAAGAGCGCGGGACGGAGUUGACGGAGCUUCUGGUGCGAUGGAUGGUCCAGCUCCUCUCUCCAUCCAUGCCGCCGUGUUUGCGAGAAAGGUAUCCCCACAUAUAUCCUUUCCCCGUGCUUCCUUCCCAUCCCGCUCUUUUCCUUCCCUUAUGCUCUCUUCCAGUUUAUCUCCAUCAGGUGUGGAAUUGAUCUGGUUUAGAUAAUGCUUGCACUAUGGUGCCACUACAAAGGUUUGCCAUAUCUAGAUUAAAUUUCUGAAUGUUCAAAUAUUCAGCUUUUCCAAAGAUAUAUGAAUCAAUUUUAGCAUACAAAUCCUUUAAGUAUUGCAAUCUUUACUCUAAAGCUAAACAUCAUUGGCAUGAGAUUUUGAUUGAUCUAGACUUGAGUGAUAGCAAGUUAAUUCUAGACUGACUACCCCACUUCAAUUAGGAUUUCCAACACAUGAAUCUUACUAAUAAAUUUCUUCUCUGCAUGUUCUGCCUGCUGACGAGGAGGAGCUAGGGGGUG